rnacentral:rRNA from 1 species
CCCUUAGACACUCUAGGCGGCACGCGCGCUGCAAUGGGUGGAAGACAGUGUUAUUGCUUCUGACAAGAGGGGUUAAUCACGAAUUCUAACCCGUGAGUGGGAUAGUUUGUUGCAAUUUUCGGACUUGAACUAGGAAUCCCUUGUAAACAUACUAAAGUAUAGUGUGUUGAAUACGUCCCUGCCGUUUGUACACACCGCCCGUCGUUUCUUCCGACUGAUACUCAUUGUGAGUUGCAAGGAUUCUUAAAUGGAGAAUUGCGACAAAUACUUUGUAUUGGAGGAAGAAAAAGUCGUAACA